rnacentral:rRNA from 1 species
GACGAACGCUGGCGGCGUGCCUAAUACAUGCAAGUAGAACGCACAGUUUAUACCGUAGCUUGCUACACCAUAGACUGUGAGUUGCGAACGGGUGAGUAACGCGUAGGUAACCUGCCUGGUAGCGGGGGAUAACUAUUGGAAACGAUAGCUAAUACCGCAUAAUAUUAAUUAUUGCAUGAUAAUUAAUUGAAAGGUGCAAUUGCACCACUACCAGGUGGACCUGCGUUGUAUUAGCUAGUAGGUGAGGUAACGGCUCACCUAGGCGACGAUACAUAGCCGACCUGAGGGGGUGAUCGGCCACACUGGGACUGAGACACGGCCCAGACUCCUACGGGAGGCAGCAGUAGGGAAUCUUCGGCAAUGGACGAAAGUCUGACCGAGCAACGCCGCGUGAGUGAAGAAGGUUUUCGGAUCGUAAAGCUCUGUUGUAAGAGAAGAACGGGUGUGAGAGUGGAAAGUUCACACUGUGACGGUAUCUUACCAGAAAGGGACGGCUAACUACGUG